rnacentral:rRNA from 1 species
UGGAGGCGCGGCACACAGCUCAGUAGCACGUGGCUAACCUGCCCUUGGGACGGGAACAUCCCCGGGAAACUGGGGUUAAUUCUCGAUAGGUGAAGAUUCCUGGAAUGGGUUUUCGCCCAAAGGACGUUUAGGUCAUGCUUCUAGACGUUGCCCAAGGAUGGGGCCGCGGCCGAUCAGGCUGUUGGUGAGGUAAUGGCUCACCAAACCUUUGACCGGUUCGGGCCGUGGGAGCGGUAGCCCGGAGAUGGGCACUGAGACAAGGGCCCAGGCCCUACGGGGCGCAGCAGUCGCGAAAACUUCGCAAUAAGCGAAAGCUUGACGGGGCCAUCCCGAGUGCCAUCUGCUGAGGAUGGCUUUUACCCAGUAUAGAUAGCUGGGGGAAUAAGGAGAGGGCAAGUCUGGUGUCAGCCGCCGCGGUAACACCAGCUCUCCGAGUUGUGGGGACGUUUAUUGAGCCUGAAGCAUCCGUAGCCGGCUGUGCAAGUCCUCUGUUAAAUCCAGCGAUAAAUCGUUGGCCUGCGGGGGAUACUGCUCGGCUAGGGGGCGGGAGAGGCCGUCGGUAUUCUUGGGGUAGGGGUGAAAUCCUAUAAUCCCAGGAGGACCACCAGUGGCGAAGGCUGUCGGCUAGAACGCGCUCGACGGUGAGGGAUGAAAGCUGGGGGAGCGAACCGGAUUAGAUACCCGGGUAGUCCCAGCUGUAAACGAUGCACGCUAGGUGUUAGGGCGGCUACGUGCCGCUCUAGUGCCGCAGGGAAGCUGUUAAGCCUGCCGCUUGGGGAGUACGGCCGCAAGGCUGAAACUUAAAGGAAUUGGCGGGGGAGCACCACAAGGGGUGAAGCUUGCGGUUUAAUUGGAUUCAACGCCGGG